rnacentral:rRNA from 1 species
AGAGUUUGAUCCUGGCUCAGAUUGAACGCUGGCGGAAUGCUUUACACAUGCAAGUCGAACGGCAGCACGGGGGCAACCCUGGUGGCGAGUGGCGAACGGGUGAGUAAUACAUCGGAACGUGCCCAGUCGUGGGGGAUAACUACGCGAAAGCGUAGCUAAUACCGCAUACGAUCUACGGAUGAAAGCGGGGGAUCGCAAGACCUCGCGCGAUUGGAGCGGCCGAUGGCAGAUUAGGUAGUUGGUGGGGUAAAGGCUCACCAAGCCGUCGAUCUGUAGCUGGUCUGAGAGGACGACCAGCCACACUGGGACUGAGACACGGCCCAGACUCCUACGGGAGGCAGCAGUGGGGAAUUUUGGACAAUGGGCGAAAGCCUGAUCCAGCCAUUCCGCGUGCAGGAUGAAGGCCCUCGGGUUGUAGACUGCUUUUGUACGGAACGAAAAGCCUUCUUCUAAUACAAGAGGGUCAUGACGGUACCGUAAGAA